UACGUAGGGUGCGAGCGUUGUCCGGAAUUAUUGGGCGUAAAGGGCUCGUAGGCGGUCUGUCACGUCGGCUGUGAAAACCCGAGGCUCAACCUCGGGCCUGCAGUCGAUACGGGCAAACUAGAGUACUGCAGGGGAGACUGGAAUUCCUGGUGUAGCGGUGAAAUGCGCAGAUAUCAGGAGGAACACCGGUGGCGAAGGCGGGUCUCUGGGCAGUAACUGACGCUGAGGAGCGAAAGCGUGGGGAGCGAACGGG
rnacentral:rRNA from 1 species